CUGGAAUCAAACAACUAUUUUAACUUUCAGUUUUGUUAUUUACUAGCUGUGUGACCUCAGGCAAUUUACUUUGUUUUUCUGAACUUUAAUUUCUUAAUCUGCAGAAGAGCCAAUGGUGUAACUCUCAGUCCAAGGUCAAAAGCCGCAGCAUUUGGAGGGCUGUUGUGCAAGUCUUGAGGUCUGAAGGCUGAAGAAUCUGGAGAUCUGAUGUCCAAAAGCAGAAGAUGGGUGUCUCAGCUCCAGAAGAGACAGCAUGUCAAGUAAAAAUUGAGUGGGCUUCCUAUCUAUUUCACUUCGAGAAACACCAGGAUUAACUAGCCAACACCAUAGGUCUGCAUGAGUCAGAUUAUUCUGAUUGCUGCAUUGAAUCUGCUGUCCGGUGGAGCAGAGUGGCUGGAGUGGGCUUGAUUUGUGUGUUUCCCUUCUCAUUGGAAGGCUAGACCUGACUGGAGUUGAGUAUUUCUCUUCCCCCAGGUCAGUUAGGCUGUGAUAAUACCCCAGCAGCUUAGGUUCUGGUUAACUAGUUUCCCUUGAGUGCAGUCCUCUUUAAGAAGAACAGAGUGUUCUGCUGUAUUUCAAAAUGGUUCCUUUUCCCCUCCCUCUGCUGGAAACCCAAGGGGAUUUUUCUCUGAUAUUUACUGUAAGAACUGGGUUGAGUGCCUGGAGGGAAAACUCACAAAAGUGGAGGGUGGGCAGUGUGAUUGGUCUCUCUGGAGUUUUUAACUCUCAUGCUUGUUUGCACUGAGCCUCCAGCAAUUCAGCAAUUUGUCAAUUACUGUUCAGAUGCUCCUACCCCAGCCCUGGUUCUCUUGGCAGUUUCCACCGUGCAUUUCUGCUCCAGUAAGCCUUCAUUCCCUGUAGUUGCCUGUCUGUCUCUCCAAUCCUGGGGACAACAGCGGUUUGCCCUGUGUUCUACCCUUUCUUCCUGAUCCAGCAAGAGUUUGUUUUUCCAUCCAUUUAGCUUUUUACUUGUUAGAAUAAAUUGAUGACUUCUAAGCUCUGUAGGUGUGGAACCAGAAACAAUAAAUGCAACCGAAGACUUUAAAAUUGAAUUUUACCAAUGUAUACCCAUACCAGCAGUGAGUGUUCCAGAUACCUUCCUCCUUAUCACUACUUAAUAUUGUCUGUCUCUAUCAUUUUAGUGAUUUUGGUGGGUAUGUGUAGAAUAAUUUCACAGUGCUUUUAAUUUACACAUCACAGAUAACUUAGAAAUGACCAUAUUUUUUAUGUGAUGCUUGUCAUAUCUUCUGUGAAGUGGUGGUUCAAUUAUUUUAUCAAUUUUCUAUUGGGUUUUAGCCUUUCAAUCAUUAAUUUGAAGUUAUUGUCAUAUGAUUGUUAUUUGAUUGGUAUAUGUUCGUAAUUGAAUAUAUGUAUUGCAAACAUUUUCUCCUUGUCUGUGGUAUCCUUGUUCAUUCUCUUAAUAGUGUUGCUU
rnacentral:lncRNA from 10 species